rnacentral:rRNA from 1 species
UACGUAGGGUGCGAGCGUUGUCCGGAAUUAUUUGGGCGGUAAAGGGCUCGUAGGCGGUUUGUCGCGUCGGGAAGGUGAAAUCCACCUGGCUUAGUCUGGUGGCUUGCUUUCGAUACGGGGCAGACUGGAGGUAUGCAGGGGAGAGCGGAACUCCUGGUGUAGCGGUGGAAUGCGCAGAUAUCAGGAAGAACACCGGUGGCGGAAGGCGGCGUCUCUCGGGCCUCCACCUGACGCUGAGGAGCGAAAGCGUGGGUAGCGAACAGG